AAGGUCAGACAGAAACUCAUGUUGGCUCUUUGUGUUGAACUAUGUAUAAAGUACAGCUAGUCCUUAGAAUGGAAACAUGAUGAAUAUUGACUAUGUAACUUUUCACUUUCAUUUUUUCUACAUAUUUUGUCCUCAUUCAUUCAAACCUAAUUAUGCAACAAACUGAAUCGUCCACCUGUAAAAACCCGUUGAUGGAGACAAUGAAUUCAUGCUGAGCUCAUACUAAACCACUGGAUGAAGCUUUACUGCACCAAACUAUGACUUCAACAUUUGUACCUGGAUUUUGUCUAUAUGACACAUUAUUAUGAGUUCUGUCUGUUGAUGCCUGUAGACUGACACAAUGAUUCAUAAUGCCACUGAUCUCUGUGUGUUACACUUUAGGUCCUCAGACCAACAAAAUACUCCUGAAACUGAAAGUUCUGCCUCUGGAGACAGAGAGUCUGAAGUCCACCAGGAAGAGACAGAGAGAGUAAAUACAUCCAACAGCUUCUUUAUUCUGUCUCAUGUUACUUACAAAACCCUCGACAGGAAAUAAAUACUGUUAAAAACUGCUACAGACAGUUUGUACCUGAAGACCACGAACUAAAAUAAUAACUCACAUGACUCCCCUGAACCUCUUUUCAACAACACUGUGUUUUUUUUAGCAACAACUCCUAGCAACAUCAGAAUCAGGAUCUUCAGGAUCACCACCACAACAACCUUAGAGGACUGAGGCUGGCGUCAGCUCAGGCAGACGACAAAGAUCAAGAAGAAAUGAGUGUUUGACCUCAUGAUGAUUUUCCUUCAUCAUCACCAGUUUAUCACCAAGAAUCAGAGCAGAUGUUGUUUUUCUCCAGUUGAAACCAAGAGCUGCUUCAGUUCUGCAGCACAAACAACUUUUUAUAGAUGUCCUGCACUGAAACAGAUCAACUAAAGGACAGAUUUAAUCAGAAUAAAUGUGUUUCUUUUUCCAAUUUUGAUCAUAUUGUUUGUAGAAGUGUAAUUAUUUCUGUUUUCUGAGUGGAAUUAGUGUCUUUUAGAUGGAAGCUACUGCUAACACAACCGUGUCUCUCUCAUCAACAUCUUGUUUAACAGUUUCUUUAAAAUGUUAAAAUUUGUAAUUUACAUCCAGUUGAACUCAUUUAGACACAUUUAGAUUCUUUCUAAACAUCAUGUGUCACUGAUCUUUACUCCAUAAUCACAUCUGUGUUAUUUUAUAAUCUAAUGUCUUAAGAUCUGUUCUACACUGUAAAAAUAGUAAAAUAAAGUGUUUAAACCGAUGACAAACAUAA